CUAUCAUGUUCGUUAGUAUAUCGAUUUAAGUUUAUGUUUGCUCGGCGUGUUUGGUUUUGUAAAUGCGUAGAGAAAUAAAUAGUGAACCAUUUUGGAUCUUGAAUACUUCAGUCAAACAUUUAAAGGGUUAAUCUGCCAUGGCUUCUUCUACAACCAACAAUCUUCUCCAAUGCUCAAUAUGUCUUGAAAAGUUUAAACAGCCAAGAGCGUUACCUUGUCUUCACACAUUUUGUCACCUUUGCCUGCAAGAGUUCAUUGACACAAGUGCCAGGAAGGGGAACAUUUCCUCGGGUUUCGAAUGUCCGGUUUGCCGCCGGGAAACACUUCCUCGUGUAAAAGGGGGUCAAGAUCGAGGUCAUCAUGAACAAUGGGCUCAAUUGUUUCCAAUUAAUCACUUAAUCGUGACCUUACUUGAUGAGCAUAAAGGACGUACUACAGAUGGUCAUGAUAAACAUCGGCCACUGGGUAAAACUGGCAAUUCUUCUACAGUACCAGGCGUUGUCAAAGACUCGGAAUCAAUCAAGAACACACCAGUGCUACUGACGUUGAUUAUUCUUACAGUAACAUUUAUUACAUCCUACACAAUAGCCAAUCUAUCAACACAUUCACAAAUUAAUACCCUUCCCGACAUAGAAACAAAAGAUACGCCCAAAAUACCGACCUCAGCGGAGGGCAUUUCCCAUGAUAUAGGAGGACACGAGCCAUCAUGUAAAGAGGAGAUAUCGAUUCAUUCUACAAAAACCAAAAUACCGCCCUCAGCGGAGGGCAUUUCUCAUGAUAUAGGAGGACACGAGGUACCACGUAAAGAGGAGAUAUCGAUUCAUACUACAAAAGCCAAAAUACCGCCCUCAGCUGAGUGCAUUUCUCAUGAUAUAGGAGGACACGAGCCACCACGUAAAGAGGAGAUAUCGAUUCAUUCUACACAAGCCAAAAUGCCGCCCACAGCGGAGGGCAUUUCUCAUGAUAUAGGAGGACACGAGCCACCACGUAAAGAGGAGAUAACGAUUCAUACUACAAAAGCCAAAAUACCGCCCUCAGCUGAGGGCAUUUCCCAUGAUAUAGGAGGACACGAGCCACCACGUAAAGACGAGAUAUCGAUUCAUACUACAAAAGACAAAAUACCGACCUCAGCUGAGGACAUUUCUCAUGAUAUAGGAGGACACGAGCCACCACGUAAAGAGGAGAUAUCGAUUCAUACUACCCAAGCCAAAACACCGACCUCAGCUGAGGACAUUUCUCAUGAUAUAGGAGGACACGAGCCACCACGUAAAGAGGAGAUAUCGAUUCAUACUACCCAAGCCAAAACACCACCCUUAGCUGAUGACAUUUCUCAUGAUAUAGGAGGACACGAGCCACCACGUAAAGAGGAAAUAUCGAUUCAUACUACCCAAGCCAAAAAACCGCCCUCAGCUGAGGACAUUUCCCAUGAUAUAGGAGGACACGAGCUACCACGUAAAAAGGAGACACAGGUUCAUAGUACAAAAGCACCAGAUGAACCCGAAAAUGUUGUCUAUAUGCCUCCACCACUUCACCAAUUCAGACCACACCAUCCACUUCCGGGUAACUACCCACCCCCUGAGGAUCACAUUAGGCCGCCUUUUCAUCCUCCGAGGGGUCAUAAGAGGCCUCCUCCGCCGCAUCACAGUGAGCGUGGUCGAGGUCACCAUCCCCACCCCCAUGAGCACAGGGGGCCUCAUCACGGACGUCCCCAUCCUCCCCCACACCAUGGGCCAAAACACCACCAUCCACAUGGCCAUAGGGGCCACCGCGGUGGACGUUGCCACGAUGGGAAAGGCAGAGGACGAGGAGAGUGGUGAAAAACAUAUUAUCUCUUACUGUCAGGGGUUAAUUUUGAUAUAAAUGCUUUUAUAUUUAAGAAAAGUGGUUUGUUUAAACGUUUUAGGAGCAUUCUUAUGAUAGGAAUAUGAAGUGUGACUGUUUGUAAUUACUAAACAAAUGAACUUCUAAAUAGCGCGUGUUGAAGCUGAAAAGUGUUUGUCUUAAAUGCUAGAGUUUAGUCUUAAUUUGAAUAAACCGUUGUUGUUUUUUCAUAGCUAACUCUUUGAAUCUUCACAUGGACUCAGAACAUCAAUUCGGUAAAUAAUUAUAUAACUAGACAACAACGUUUCGAAUUGAAACUUAUAUCAUCGUUGAGAAAAAAGUAUGUAUUGGUAGUGAUUCAUCGGACGUAAUUUCGACAGAGUGGCAAAGACAGAGCAUUAUUAAUGGGAUAUUUAUUAAUUAUUCGCUCUUACAUCAAAGUGUAUGAAAUGAAAUUAAAAUCUAGUUUAUCACAAGAGACAAACUGAAAAUGAAGGCAAAUCUUGAUGCUACAGACAUCCUUCAUGAAGCAGAUGCAUAAAGCUGGUUGACAUGCAACCAACUUAAUAUUAUGAAAAAUAAGAACCAUCUGGACGCUACAUCCAUCUACAAACGAAUGACAGUAUUAUGUGCUCGAGGGUUUUUGGAAGAAGCAGGCUUUAAAAAAGCAUAAACAAAGUAUCACUGAAGUCGUUAGGAUAUAAUAUAGUACAAUAUGACUUACAAUUGUGACCGAUUGGAUUGCCUCGAUAACUUGCCUCGAGUUGGAACGAGUAUUCGACAGAACAUGUGAUACGUUAUGGCAAAAAAUAGCCGACCUUUUAUGGAACGGAACAAUCUUUCAUUUUUGUACUACAUCUUCCUUUAGGAUGUUGUUUUUUGUGUUGUUGUUUUUACCUUAUUGUUUUUUUUCCAUACGAAUCACAUUAAGAGUCUAUUUAAACUGAGUUCUGAAGAGAGGCUAUACCAUUUUUGUUUUUUCUUAAAACAGAACGUAGUGAUGGGGCUUGCUUUGUACAGUGUUUAUGUGUGUUUUAUUUUAGCAGUGGAGUCAGCUGUGGCGAAAGAUAAAGACCCGUGUGAUGGUUCAACCAUGGACAUAAUGCCCCACCCUGGCGAGUGCCAAUUGUUCUAUAACUGUUCGAGGACCGACUCUCCCUUUUUGCUCGGGAACCACGUACAGGAAUGCACCUACCCUGAUCUCUUUGACGCAACACUGUUAACCUGUCGUGAUUUUAGAGGGGUGGAUUGUGGGCCUAGGGUGGAACUUGUCAGCGGCUGUGAAUACAAGAGCAACAAAUGCAACGGUAGCCACUGCAAAGCCUGCUACAUCCGCUUUCCAAACUGCAAGGGUCUUCCAGAUGGUAAAAUCCCUAUCAACUGGCAAAUGUUCACUCAGUUCUAUGCUGAGUGCGAGAAGGGCCGCUUUAUUGGCAAACGAGAGUGUCCACAAGGGCUGAAGGAAGUGCCAAUGGUUUUCGACCCGUUUCAGGGCGUUUGCGAUAAACUGGAAAAUGUCAUUGCUUCUUCAGCUUAAAACGACCCGGUCACAGAUUUCGUGUUGCUUAUAAUAUUUUCAAACUGAAUAUUGUGAAUUGAACACGAUGCGCAUUGAAUAUUUAAACGCGUAACUUAUUUCAACGCUUUUCAGCAAAGUGACGGAUGCCCUGGCACAUCUUUCAAAUAUUUUUUUCAUUUGAACCGAGAAUUUUAACGAAAAUUAUUCAAUGUGCAAAAACGUUUGUUAUUUUGAUACUUUUCGGCAAAUCAAAAAAAAACAUUUUCAAAUAUGUAUUAUUUGAAUAGAAUAUUGUAAAUUUAACACGAAAACCAUCUUAUUUGUCCAAUAGCAAUACAAAUUUAAAGCCCGGCAAAAAGAAUUUUCAAAUAUGUUUUAUUUGAACAGAUUAUUGUUAGUUCAACACGAAAAUCAGUGUCCAACUUACUUAAGACGUUACUAAUUUUAAUGCUUAAAGUGAAACGCGACCACGUGCGAUUUUUCGAGUUAUUGUCUAAAAAUUGGUAUACAAAUAAACAACAUAGGCACAAUUAGGGACUGUUUUUACAUUUUUAAUAUUCGAAACAGACGUUCUAAAUAUUGACAUCGGUGUUAUAUCUUGAAGACUCGUAGUUUUAUAACUGUUUUGAAUAUAUUGAAAAUGUCAAAACAGUCCCUAGUUAAGCGUAUGCUUUUUUAUGUAUACCAAUUUUCAGACAUUAACUUUGAUUUCGCUCAGGGUCGCGUUCCACCUUAAGAGCAUUUUAUGUCACAUUCUCAGAUGUCUAUUUACACAAAAAUAAAAAUUAUCUUAUCACCAAGUCUGUGAGAUUCUAUUUAGCAAUGUAUAAAUAUGGUAUUAAA